GAUGAACGCUGGCGGCGUGCCUAAUACAUGCAAGUCGAGCGAACGGACGCGAAUCUUGCUUCUCUCAUGUUAGCGGCGGACGGGUGAGUAACACGUGUAUAACCUCCCUAUAAUUCUGGGAUAACUUCGGGAAACCGUAUCUAAUACCAUAGGAUAUUUUGAACCACAUGGUUCAAAAGUGAAAUACGGUCUUGCUGUAUCUUAUAGAUGCAUCCCCGCUGCAUUAGCUAGUUGGUCAGGUAACGGCCUACCAAGGCAACUAGGCCUGGCCGACGUAAGAGGGGGAUCGGCGACAUGGGAGCGGAGACACGCUCCAGACGACUAAGGGAGGCCGCAGUAGGCAACCGUCCGCAAUGGGCGAAAGUAUGACGGAGUAACGGCGAGCGAGUGACGAAGGUCCUCGGAUCGUAAAAACCUGCUUCUAGGUAAGAACAGAUGUGUAAGUAAAUGUGCAGAGCUUGACGGUAACUAAUAAGAAAGCAACGGCUAACUACGUG
rnacentral:rRNA from 1 species